rnacentral:rRNA from 1 species
GAGUUUGAUCCUGGCUCAGAACGAACGCUGGCGGCAGGCCUAACACAUGCAAGUCGAGCGCUACCUUCGGGUGGAGCGGCGGACGGGUGAGUAACGCGUGGGAACGUGCCCUUCUCUGCGGGAUAGCCACUGGAAACGGUGAGUAAUACCGCAUACGCCCUUUUGGGGAAAGAUUUAUCGGAGAAGGAUCGGCCCGCGUCUGAUUAGGUAGUUGGUGGGGUAAUGGCCUACCAAGCCUACGAUCAGUAGCUGGUUUUAGAGGAUGAUCAGCCACACUGGGACUGAGACACGGCCCAGACUCCUACAGGAGGCAGCAGUGGGGAAUCUUAGACAAUGGGCGCAAGCCUGAUCUAGCCAUGCCGCGUGAGUGAUGAAGGUCUUAGGAUCGUAAAGCUCUUUCGCCAGGGAUGAUAAUGACAGUACCUGGUAAAGAAACCCCGGCUAACUCCGUGCCAGCAGCCGCGGUAAUACGGAGGGGGUUAGCGUAGUUCGGAAUUACUGGGCGUAAAGCGCGCGUAAGCGGAUUGGAAAGUUGGGGGUGAAAUCCCGGGGCUC